GUUGCUCAUUCGCUGUCCUUUUUAAGACACCAGCACGUCCCUGUUAGUAAGUGCUGAUUCACACAGUGCAGCAGUAUUUAUAGAUAUUAAAGGUGUAAAAAGAAAGAUAAUCCAGAUUUGAAGUGCUCUUGUGGAUUCAAUAUUGGGUGAACAGAUUUAAUCUUUUAACAGUAAGAAAGAUUAAAUAAGAUUUUAGGUUUUGAAUGACAUUCACCUUUUUUGUUUCAUUCGAAGCAAAAAUGACCAAAUACUAGCCGUUUGAAAAUUGCUAUUCGAAAUCACGUUUUGCCUGAUACGCUUCACUAAAGCUUGAAACUGAAGUGACUAUAUUUUAAAAGCCCUAACAUGGAAUGAAAUUAACUUGUUGUUGAUAAUAUCAACAAUUAGUUAAAUAAUUUCGUCCCAUGUUAUGGGGCUUUCUAAAUUAAAAUUCAUGAAUUUUAGAUCCAAAUAUAUUUACAGUGUAACAUUUCCAAUAGUUUUCCACGCAAAUUUUCCAACUGUGGAAAAAUAUGUGUCGCAGGAAAUCCACCGCCCUCGCGCC